rnacentral:rRNA from 1 species
CCUACGGGGGGCAGCAGUGGGGGAUAUUGCACAAUGGGGGAAACCCUGAUGCAGCGACGCCGCGUGGGUGAAGAAGCGCCUCGGCGCGUAAAGCCCUGUCAGCAGGGAAGAAAAUGACGGUACCUGAAGAAGAAGCCCCGGCUAACUACGUGCCAGCAGCCGCGGUAAUACGUAGGGGGCAAGCGUUAUCCGGAUUUACUGGGUGUAAAGGGGGCGCAGACGGCGGCGCAAGCCAGGAGUGAAAGCCCGGGGCUCAACCCCGGGACUGCUUUUGGAACUGCGUGGCUGGAGUGCAGGAGGGGUAGGCGGAAUUCCUGGUGUAGCGGUGAAAUGCGUAGAUAUCAGGAGGAACACCGGUGGCGAAGGCGGCCUGCUGGACUGCAACUGACGUUGAGGCUCGAAAGCGUGGGGAGCAAACAGGAUUAGAUACCCCAGUAGUC